CUUUCGUAGAGGUUGUUGUGGGUGUUUCCAUGGGUAGUUUUGUGAGCCUAGUGAUAGUUUGACAAGGCUUUCGUAGAGGUUGUUGUGGGUGUUUCCAUGGGUAGUUUUAUGAGCCUAGUGAUAGUUUGACAAGGCUUUCGUAGAGGUUGUUGUGGGUGUUUCCAUGGGUAGUUUUAUGAGCAUAGUGAUAGUUUGACAAGGCUUUCGUAGAGGUUGUUGUGGGUGUUUCCAUGGGUAGUUUUGUGAGCCUAGUGAUAGUUUGACAAGGCUUUCGUAGAGGUUGUUGUGGGUGUUUCCAUGGGUAGUUUUAUGAGCAUAGUGAUAGUUUGACAAGGCUUUCGUAGAGGUUGUUGUGGGUGUUUCCAUGGGUAGUUUUGUGAGCCUAGUGAUAGUUUGACAAGGCUUUCGUAGAGGUUGUUGUGGGUGUUUCCAUGGGUAGUUUUAUGAGCAUAGUGAUAGUCUGACAAGGCUUUCGUAGAGGUUGUUGUGGGUGUUUCCAUGGGUAGUUUUAUGAGCCUAGUGAUAGUUUGACAAGGCUUUCGUAGAGGUUGUUGUGGGUGUUUCCAUGGGUAGUUUUAUGAGCCUAGUGAUAGUUUGACAAGGCUUUCGUAGAGGUUGUUGUGGGUGUUUCCAUGGGUAGUUUUAUGAGCAUAGUGAUAGUUUGACAAGGCUUUCGUAGAGGUUGUUGUGGGUGUUUCCAUGGGUAGUUUUAUGAGCAUAGUGAUAGUUUGACAAGGCUUUCGUAGAGGUUG